rnacentral:rRNA from 1 species
UACAGAGGUCUCAAGCGUUGUUCGGAUUCAUUGGGCGUAAAGGGUGUGUAGGCGGUUAUGUUAGUCUCGCGUCAAAUUCUUCGGCUUAACCGGGGGCUCGCGUGGGAAACGGCAUAACUAGAGGAUGGGAGAGGUAUAUGGAACUCAUAGUGUAGGGGUGAAAUCCGUUGAUAUUAUGGGGAACACCAAAUGCGAAGGCAAUAUACUGGCCCACUCCUGACGCUGAAACACGAAAGCGUGGGUAGCGAAUGGG